UCUGACGGAGCGACGCCGCGUGAGCGCAAGAAGGCCUUCGGGUCGUAAAGCUCUGUUGUUAGGGAAGAACAAGUACCGUUCGAAUAGGGCGGUACCUUGACGGUACCUAACGAGAAAGCCCCGGCUAACUACGUGCCAGCAGCCGCGGUA
rnacentral:rRNA from 1 species